CCAAUAGCGUAUAUUAAAGUUGUUGCAGUUAAAAAGCUCGUAGUUGAAUUUCGGGAUCAAAGGAUCGGUCAUGCCUUGGUAUGUACUGGUUUUAUUGGUUCUCACCUUCUAAAGAACCAUAAUGUCAUUCAUUUGAUGUUAUGGGGAAUUAGGACUGUUACCUUGAAAAAAUUAGAGUGUUUAAAGCAGGAUUACGCUUGAAUACAUUAGCAUGGAAGAAUGAAAUAGGACAUCAGAUUCUAUUUUGUUGGUUUCUAGGAUCGAUGUAAUGAUUAAUAGGGAUAGUUGUGGGCAUUAGUAUUCAAUUGUCAGAGGUGAAAUUCUUGGAUUGAUUGAAGACUAACUACUGCGAAAGCAUUUGCCAAGGAUGUUUUCAUUAAUCAAGAACGAAAGUUAGGGGAUCGAAGACGAUCAGAUACCGUCGUAGUCUUAACCAUAAACUAUGCCGACUAGGGAUCGGAUGAUGUUAAUUUUAUAAUGACUCAUUCGGCACCUUACG
rnacentral:rRNA from 1 species